AUUUAUUUAUUAUUUCAAUAGGUUUUUGGGGAACAGGUUGUGUUUGAUUUCAUGAAUAAAUUCUUUAGUGGUGAUUUCUGAGAUUUUGGUGCACCCAUUACCCGAGCAGUGUACACUGUACCCAACGUGCAGUCUUUCCUUUCCCCUGAGCCCCCAGAGUCCAUUGUGUCAUUCUUAUGCCUUUGUGUCCUGAUAGCUUAACUCCCACUUAUUAAUGAGAACAUACAAUGUUUGGUUUUCCAUUUCUGAAUUACUUCACUUAGAAUAACGGUCUCUAAUUCCAUCCAGGUUGCUGCAAAUGCCAUUAUUUCAUUCCUUUUUAUGGCUGAGUAGUAUUCCAUGGUGUAUAUAUCUAUAUUACAUUUUCUUUAUCCAUUCGUUGAUUGCUGGGCAUUUGGAAUGGUUCCAUAUUUUUGCACUUGUGAAUUGUGCUGCUAUACACAUGUGUGUGCAGGUAUCUUAAUAGCACCUACUUUGCAGGGCUGGAUUCCAUGCAGUAACUCUUCUAAUGCCCUCAGAACAGGGCCUGAUGCAUGGGGAAGACCUGAGUAUGUGCUCCUUGUUUUUAUUAUUUACUAAAUUAGGGUGAUCAGGGGAACUAUAAUUACUUGCUAGCAGGGUGUCUAAGGCAGCAGUUCUCAAGUUUUGGAUCUCAGGACCCUUUAACGUUUAGAAAAAUUAGUGCAGGCCUUGAGCUGUUGUGUAUAGGUCUGUCGUAUCUGUCCAUAUUUACAAUAGUAGAAAUUAAAGCUGUGAAAAAAUUAUGUAUUAAUUCAUUUGAAAAUGUUAACGAAUCUAUUUUGUUUACAUAAAUAAUACAUUUUUCAUGAAAAAUAGCUCUAUGUUUUAAAACCAAUAAAAUAAUAUGAAAGUGAGAAGUGACCUCGUUUUACAUCUUUGCAAAUCUCUUCACUGCCUGGCUUAAUAGAAGUCAGCUGGACUCUCACAUCCACUGUUGCCUUCAUUCUGCUACAAUAUCACACCACGUGUAGCCCUGGGAAACUCCACUGUACACCUGUGAGAGCAUGAGUGUGAGAAGGCAAAUAUCUUCCUACUGCUAUGAAAAUAAUUUUGGCCUUUUGUUCUCCUGAUCCUCUGAGAGACAUCUUAGGACCUCACUUAGAGAAUCACUGUCUAAGGUCUAUUUCAGGCAGGGGCCUCUCCAGCCCCUGAUGCCCUCCUGGCACCUGCUGGGCCUGGGGCUGAGUCCAGGCUUGCAGAAUCUAGUGGUGGCGGCGUGGUUAGUUGAUGGUGUGCAUUUGCAGCUGCUCUCUGAUCCAGUAGCACUGGGGAGGCAUGCAUGGGACUUCCCUGCACUUUACAGUGAGGACGCUCUGGCUCAGAGGGUGGAAGGGCCAAGAGUGGGGGCUGUGCAGGGGGCAUGCUGCUCUGCGUGAGGCAGGAGGGAGCCUCAGAAGGGUGCUCUCUUGGGCCUCAGAGGUUGUCUCUCUUCAUGCUGAAGUACCUCUUGCCUGAUAUGGCCUCUUAGGGGAGGUGGCAUUGGGUCUCUCUCCAACCUACACAUCCCCAAGUCCACCCUAUCACCGUGCACCCAAGACACCCUCACCCGCCUGCCUACCAGCCCCCAGCAAUGCACACACUGGGCCAGGCAGGUGCAGGGACUGCAGGUGAAUGAUGAAGGUCAAGCCACGGGCGCCUGGGUGAGACAGGUUUGCCCGGGCCUCCCUGAGCCCUGGUCUGUGGCCUGGGUCUGGAUGGGUGUGCUUUAUGUGCAUGUGACCUCUACCCCUGGGGGUGGCCCGUGUGUGUCUCUGAAGCCUCUCGCGGGGUCUGUCAGAGCUUUGUCCCUCCUUUUGUGAGCGUCUGCUCACUCCCGGGGCUGUGUGACUCCUUCUGGGUCUCUUGCUCAGUGACUCUCUCUCUCUCUCUGUCUGUGUGUGCACUGCACAUGCGUGGUGUGACACUUUCUCUGGGUCAGGGCAGCUUGCCAUUUCGGGGGCUAAGCUGGGGAGUGGCUGCAGAGCUCUCCCUUUGUCUCCAGCACAUUCUUCUAGGGCCAGAAGCGUUGUUGUGGCAACUGGUGGCUGCCCUGUCAAUGGGGCAGAUGUGCCUGUGACCACGUCGAGGGGGCUUGAUCUGUGUCCACUCCCCCACUGGCCCCUGGGCAAGCAGGCGGCCCUCAGGACAGGCCCCCCGCUUGUCCUCCAGCUCCUCCACUCAGACGCCUGCCCAAGCCCACCGCCUCUGAGCCUGGCUGGGCCCAGGCAGGGGGCCUGGCGAGUCUGGGAACAGGCUCCGAUCUCAUUCAUUCUCAUUCAACAAAUAUUUAUUAACCCCAACUGUGUGCUGGCACUGGGAACCCAGCAGCCACAAAGACAGACAAAGUCCUGCUCUCUUGAAACUUAAUGACCAUAUUAAUACGCAAAGCUCACACUUCCACACCCUCACGGCAUGCCAGGCACUAUGUUUAGCAACUUGCAUAUAUUAACUCAUUUAAUCACUGUGAUAAUCCCAUUACUCUUCCUAUUUUACUAAUGAUGAAGUACAAGCACAGAGAUGUUAAGUUAUUUGCCCCAAACCACACAGCCAGUAAAUAGAGCCAGGAGUGAAUCCAGGGCAUCUGGCUCCAGGGUCCAUGCUCUUAAUCACUAUACUGUAUAGCCUCUAACAAAUGAGAAGCAUCAUUUCAGAUAGUGGUAAGAGCCACGAAGAAACAAAAAUAGUGGGUGAGGGGGUGCUGGGAGCCAGGUUAGUUGUGAGUAUGUCCUGAAGUGUUGGCAUUUGACAUGAGCCCUAUUAACAAGAAAGAGUCAGCCAUGCGAUGACCAGAGGGAGCAGCAUGUGCACAGGCCCAGAGGCAGUGUGGAAGCUGGCUUGUUAGAGGAACAGAAGGAGGAGGGAUAGGCUAGAUCCUGGAUAGAAAGGGGCUCUGUGCUGUACCAAAUGAACUCCCAGAUCCCACAGCCGUGUAUUUCCUGCCUGCGGAUAUUCCUGACCAGCAGGUUGACUUUCCUCCAGGUGGACAGUCAGGGACCCAGAGCCCUUCCUUCUGUGGCUUCACAGCUGGCAUCCCAUGGCCCACAUAGGUAAGGAGCGUUGGGGGUGUUGACGGGCCAGGAAGUGGAGUGCAUCGCCUCUACUCCAUCAUCCAGAACCCAGUCACAUGGCCCAGAAUAAGAGGAUCUGGGAGUGGCAAAAAGCCAGCCAGACUCAGCCCCAUAAAUGGCUGGUGGUUGUGCAGACAGAGAGAGCUCAGAUUUGGGUAUAGGUUGAGGUUGAAUCAAUGGGACUUGUUGAUGGAUGGAGUAGAGGAAGACAAGACCCAUGACUGACUCCAGGACUGCACAACUGGCAGGGUGAGCAGCUGAGGCUCGAGGGCUCCACACAGCAGAAUGGCUGUGUCCCCACCAUAGCAUCAGUGCUAAGGAGCUCUCCUUUUGUUCCGUGAUUGAGUUCUGGGAAAUCAUUCCCCUCCCUCUCCCCACACCCUUUGCUAUGUAGCUGGGCAGGUCCUGCUGGGAAGAGGUGGCAUCUGCUUCCCUACACCUUGAAUCUGGGCUGGCCUGGACUUGCUUUUGCCAGUAGGACAUGGAGAACUAAUAUAGUGAUGGUACCAAGCCAGGGCCUCAAGAAGCCUUGCAGCAUCUGCUCCCACUUUUGGAGUCCUUCCCCUCUGAUGGAAACCAGCUUGGGCCAGCCUGCUGGAGGAUGAGACCAUGUGGAAGAGACCCUGGUUGUCCUAGCAGAAGCCACCCUAGAGCAGCCUAUAGACAGCUGACCCCAAAAUAUGUGGAAGAUUCUGCUAAGCUCAGCAGCGCCACCUACUUGACCCACAGCUGACCAUAGGUGUGUGAGAGAGCCCAGUUGAGACCAGAAGUGCCCGGUGCACCCAUGCACUCAUGAGCAAAGAUCAAUCCAUAGUGUCUGGAGGCAGUUAGUUUGGGGGUAGUUUGUUAUUCAGCCAUAGCUCACUGACACAAUUCCCCAAGCAGGAAAGGAACCUGGUCAUCGAGCCUGGGACAUGAGUUCCAGUCCUGUGCCUGUCAGUGAAUUUUCAUGUGGGUGGGCCCUGUAGCAGGCUCUGGAGCACCAUCAAGGAGUGUGGUUCUGAUUCUAGCAGGCCAGGAAAAGAAUGUGGGCAAGGGCUGCAUGUGGGUGGCCCUGGGUCUCAUCCUCCCUGAAGCAGCAUGAACAGACUUUUCAGAGGAGUCUUCAGAAGAGUUUGUCAGGUGGGGGAAAGGUGAGUGCUCUGGGCAGAGGAGACAGCAAAGGACAAGAUGUACAGAGAAAUGGGACCACAGUAAUUCUGUGCUGGAGACAAAUAGGGUGUGGUGAUGAAAGAGAGGGCAUGAGAACUGCUAGAACCUCAUCUGGCAGAGUGCUUAUCUCCUAAGUGGCACCAUUGCUACUGCUGUGCAAAAGGCUGCCAGCAUGGCAGGUGCAAGGUCACUGUGGGAUAAGGAACUUGGACUUUACCUACAGGACAAUGGGGAGCCAUGGCUGGUGGUAGGUAUGGUGUGAGUUGGUCUGGCCAGAGCUUGGAGGCUGGCUUGAUGGGGUAUGAGUGGAAGCAGGGAGACCUGGAGGAAGCCUUGGCAUUCUUUCAGAUUCUCACCUGAAAGAGACAAUGGUGGCCAAAGAAGGUGAUGGGCAGUGAGAAAACUCAUGAGAUGCCCCAGGGAGAAACUGCCAGAGCUUGGCAGCCUGUUGAAUGUGCCUGGUGUUGGGGAGGAAUUUGACAAUGGCAAUCUGCAUCUGGCAUGGACAGCCUGUGUGGUCCACAGCCUGAACCUCUUAUCUCCAUCUUCCUCAAGCCUCUGUUUGAGGUGGUGGAAUGCUCAGGUGAUGAUGGCUCAGAUGAUGUGUGACAGCCCAAACUAUAGCCUUCCUUCCCUUGCUUCUGGGUGGUGAGGCCUUGAAGAGGUAAUUUCUCUUCCCUGAGACUGGUUGUCAUUUGUGAAGUGGGAGCAAGAGGCUUCCUAGGGUCUCAGGAAACAUGUCUUAGACUUGCCUUGAAGUGUGCAGGGGACAGCCCCACCUCAGGUGGGAAAAGCCUCCCCAGGACUGUCCUGACCUCAGGUGGGAAAAGCUUCCCCAGGACUGUCCUGACCUCAGGUCGAAAAUCCUCCCCAGGACUGUCCUGACCUUGGGUGGGAAAAGCCUCCUCAGGACUGUGCCUGCCCUUGGGUGGAAAAGCCUCCCCAGGACUGUCUUGACCUUUGGUGGGAAAAGCCUCCCCAGGUCUGUUCUGACUCAGGUCUUGCUGAGGGGCUCCCUUGCCAAUUGGCAGGGCACCCUCUGCAGAGAGGUUCAGGCACUGGUUCAUCUCCUCAGGGCCUUUGGGAAAGUCCAGUUCCUGCUCCGUGAAGCCCUGAGCUAGUUUUAAACUCAAGUCCAGAGGCUGUGUGUGUGUGUGUGUGUGUAUAGGAACUUUAUCCCUCUUAACCGUUUCCCUCAAAUUAUUUUGCUGCCUCCAUUGGUGCACUAUGUUGGUGCAAGGCCAUCCCUGGGAGGCACACAUCCUGGACUUUGUUUUCUCACUGCCAAAUUUGCUGUGUGGCCUUGAGCCCUGGCCCUCUCUGGGCCUCAGUUUCUCCAGUUCUAAAACAAGAGAUGUGUCCAAGUCAGAGACUGUAUGCUGGUGGCAUGAAGGCCAAGUUCAGCCCACAGUCAUGUUUUGCUUCAUCCUCAUGGUGUUUGUCAAUGUACAGAAAAAGUGGGAUAUUUUACUUAAAAACCUGGAUGCUUGUCCUUUCUUGAAAAAUCAGAGGAUCUGACCAUGAAGAGGCCCACAUUCCCAUGUGGCAAAAAUGCCCUUGUGUUGAGCAGCUUACUUUCUGAGACUGGGUUCCUGCCAAGACCCCAGGCAUUUGGUUUCUCAUCACUAUAGUCCUGGGCUUUCUGAUGUUUUUGGUUCAGCCUCUAACGAUUUUGGCCUUUGUAACGUCAGUUUUUUUGAAAAGCCACUUUAGGAAUAGACCAAAGGGGCUGGUGGAUACCUCUGCCCAAUGCAGAACCAAAUAUUUAUUACCAUAAGCCAUGUUUGAAGAAUCCCAUAGUUGUGGAGAGAAUAGUGAUAAUAAUAAUUAAUAAUAAUAUUUAGCAUUCAUCCAUUGCUUUGCAACUCAAAGUGCCAUACAGUCAUUACUGGGAGGAUCCUCACAACAGCCCUGUGAGGUAGGUGCCAAGGAGGUCAGAAGCAGAAGGGUUGCAAGGUCGGGAAGCCAUCCUGAUCAU
rnacentral:lncRNA from 1 species